rnacentral:rRNA from 1 species
AACGAACGCUGGCGGCAUGCCUAACACAUGCAAGUCGAACGAGAUCUUCGGGUCUAGUGGCGCACGGGUGCGUAACGCGUGGGAAUCUGCCCUUUGGUUCGGGAUAACAGUUGGAAACGACUGCUAAUACCGGAUGAUGACGAAAGUCCAAAGAUUUAUCGCCAGAGGAUGAGCCCGAGUAGGAUUAGCUAGUUGGGGUGGUAAAGGCGCACCAAGGCGACGAUGCUUAGCUGGUCUGAGAGGGUGAGCAGCCACACUGGGACUGAGACACGGCCCAGAAUCCUACGGGAGGCAGCAGUGGGGAAUAGUGGAAAAUGGGCGAAAGCCAGAUCCAGCAAUGCCGCGUGAGUGAUGAAGGCAUUAGGGUUGUAAAGCUCUUGUACACGGGAUGAUAAUGACAGUACCGGGAGAAUAAGCUCCGGCUAACUCCGUGCCAGCCGCCGCCGUAA